UACGUAGGCAGCGAGCGUUGUUCGGAGUUACUGGGCGUAAAGAGUGCGUAGGCGGUGCUCUAAGUUUGGUGUGAAAUCUCCCGGCUCAACUGGGAGGGUGCGCCGAAAACUGGAGUGCUCGAGUAUGGGAGAGGUAAGCGGAAUUCCUGGUGUAGCGGUGAAAUGCGUAGAUAUCAGGAGGAACACCAGCGGUGUAGACGGCUUACUGGACCAUGACUGACGCUGAGGCACGAAAGCGUGGGGAGCAAACAGG
rnacentral:rRNA from 1 species